UGUAUUAAUAUCUACCACAUGCCAGGCAGUGGGCUGGAUGCUGAUUAGGGGACGAGAUGCCCUUCACCUGGACAGUAUUGCAAAAACUGAGGAUGGAUUUAUACUUGACACAGCUGUGUCUGCUACAGAGCGAGAAGAAAGUAUGGGGAAUUGUCACAACAAGGCUAAUGAUUACUCUGAAGUGCAGUUGGAAAGCCUGGGUGUCAUUUUUUAAGUCCUCAAAAGACCUUUAUUUGAUUUUUUUCUGCUUGUGCCUUGGUUAGCCUUAGCAUCAGAUGGAAGCAAUUUUAUGUUUCAAGAAAGAAGUGAAUGAAAGGGAAGGAAACCCUUAAAGGUCAAAGACUCCAAUCCUCUGUUCACAACCACUGUGCCGUGUCAAUUAUAGAACAGUCGAAAAGUUUUGCUGUGACUAUAGCUUUCUCUGUGCUGAUGGUCACUGGUGCCUCUAAAGCUCUUGGAAAUAGUUUGGAUACAAUAAGAUUUUUUCUUUUUUCCUGAAAAAGGGAAACAGUCUUGCUAAACAACAUUUUUUUUUUUUUUUGGACAAUAUUGAUUUAUCAACAGAUCCAUGUAUGUGUCUUGUCUUCAGCAUCCCCCAGGGAGAGUCCAGGUUAUUUUUAAGAAGACAGCAGAGAAAGAGGGAGAAGGAGGCUGAAAAUCAAGAGGCUUCUGAAAGACAGGAGCUGCAAGGAAGACUGUGCACAGCCUCAUCAUCUUCUAGUUGUGGGGAUGAUAACAUACAGGGUAACCAUGGAAGCGCUGCAAGCCUUGUGUAGAAGAUGCUGGAGGCUUUGUCCCUCUGAGUCCCUGCCUGACUACAUGGAAUACAAUUCUCUCCUGGCAGCCACUGGACUUCAUGGCUGUGCUUGGAAUGAUCUGGUUGCUCUUCUCUCUGCUAAGCUGCUGUGUUGUCCACCUCAGCAUGAAUCACCAACAAGUUACUGACCCAUUUAGGAAUCACAUCCUCUGCAGCCUAUUACGUAGGGCUAUUCUCAGUCUUUCCAUCCCUCCAGACCCCACUUUUCUAGAGGAAGAGAAAGAGGAAAAGGGAUAGGAGGAAGGAGUGAAGAGAGAAGAGGAUGUGAAGGAGAGGGUGGAAGACCAUGGUGGGGGGGAUGUCGGUCAUCUCUGGGGCCACAGCCCUCGAAGAGCAUGGCUACAAGUAUGCACGUAGGAUUCUUCUUUCCGGCUCAGACUUUCCUGUUCAGCUGAGAGUAUAAUUGUAGUAAGCACUUUGUAGGUUUGCUGCAGGGUCACCCAGGAAACCUCCCAGCACUGAUGUUCCACUACUGUUCAGGUUACAAGCCACCUUCCAGCACAGGAGACAUGAGGUCUCUGCUCGCUGCCAGCAGCCUGGGUACUUCUUAGAACCCAUGGGUCUUCCAGUCCAACUGAACACAGCAACAAGCCAGGUUUUCCUUUGCUCCUUCCUCAACUCCUGGGAAGC